AAUGGUGAAGAGAAAUGUGGUUGGGAUAGGGGAUUUCAGGUUCUUUGAUGGGUACUGUGUCUGGGAGAAGAAGCAAUUGAGAGAAGAAAUAAUGGCUGGUUAUUGGACAGUAGCAGCUUGUAGCCCAAGUGUAAUUGGACUGCAAAAUGUGGGCACUCAUGGGCUCUGGGAGGAGGUCCUCGGGCUCAUGGGCCCAAAAAAGGUUUGGUGACAACAUAUUGAUGGUCCAUGCUGUGUAGGUUUUAGGGCAUAACGAGGGUAGAUAAGGGAGCUUGUAAAUGACCUGUAUGCCCAAUUCCAUCCCAAUUUCUUGGCUUUAGCUGCAAACUUAGCA
rnacentral:misc_RNA from 1 species